rnacentral:lncRNA from 1 species
GGCAAACAUGGCUUUAAUUUGAUGUCACAUAUACAUAGAUACAUUCUCAUUAAUUAUAUAAAAAUGCCCAAAAAAUUGAAAACAAAUUUUUUUUCACAGUUUUGGCAAUAAUAGCAUGUGCAUAAUAUGUUCAGCUUAGAAAAAGUAAUUCAAAAUAAAUUCAUUUAUGUGUCUUGAUUUAUAGAGUAGGUCAUAUGUAUAGGAUUUCAGCUUAUUUUGAAAGCUACAGGUCACAAAAUACAAGGACUAAAAUAAAAUUUAAAUUUGCAACAAUUUUAGAAUUUGGUAUGUUUGUCUUGUAGGUUUAGUAGCCAUCACAGAAAACAAAAUUGCCACACAAAAGUAUAUAUUUAUAUAAAGUAGACAUCAAAGGCUAUUUACCUAAGGUUAGUUUGACACUUUUUUACAUAGCCAUUUCAUUGCCAAUCUCUGCUAAAUAUUGUAAUAAAAUUUAUUUUUUUCUUUAUUUUGGCACAUACACAUAUAACAAGGAAUGUGUAUUUCGUAAAGCUGUUAUGUGCUAUUCCUGCACAGAACCCCAUAUUGUGUUCAGCUACAUCUGCUGAGUAUAACGAUACCCCCAUUGUAUGCCUUUGGCACUUUUCUGUAAAGCUACAGUGCCAUAUAAGAGACAAGGCUAUUUCAAUUUCUAUAGUUAGAAUUUUCGUAGAUGGAUUUGACGGGCCUAUGUCUCAUUUUAGGGUAUUCUAGCAGUGUGACUGUUCAAAUAACUGCACAAAGGGCUUUCAUUUGAUAAGGCAGACACCAAUAUAAGGUGUAUAUUGUGCCUUAACUUGUCACCAUUUUUUCACCCAUUUAUGUCAAUGUUUGUGGUGGGGGGGAAUAGCAUUUUUACAUAUGUGUUGCAUUUUUGCUGAGUAUUUCUUACACUUAAUAUGUACCACUGUCAUAAAAAUUCCCAAAUUAUACUCAGUUACACCUUCUGAGUAAAACAAUAUGCCCAAUGUAUGACCUAGACACUAUUUUGUGAAGUUACAGACGUGACAAGUUCAGGUUUUUAAGUGAAUUUUCAUGGAGGGUUUUGAUGCGUCCAUGUCCCACUUUGGAGCACUUGAGCAGGCUACAUAUUACAACUACACCAUAAAGGCAUACCAUUCCUUAAAGAAGACAUCCCAGGGUAUUUCAAAAGGCCUAUUUUGAACCUUAGCGUUGGAUAAUUUUUCCGCUAGCUUGUACCAAGUGUAGUGGUAUUAAGCGUUUUUUCUGCCUUUUUGACACAUAAAGUGAGUUUGCACAGUAUAUUUAGCAAAUUGUAUGUGUGCUACGACUGUAUAAUACUUUAUAUGUUGCUCAGCUAUGUCGGCUGAGUACAGCAAUACCCCUGUAUGUACCUUUGCCAGGUAAAUGUGGACAUCGGAGGGGCACAUUUGGGACACAGCCAUUCCAGUUUUUGUCAAGCUUAAAAGUUUUACACUGUGCCCAUUUCCCAUUUUAGAGUAUUUUACCAUGGAUCUAUUAUUAUUAUUAUGAUAUUUAUAGAGCGCCGUCAAAGUCCGUAACGCUUUACAAUGGGUGGACGAACAGACAUGUAGUUGUAACCAGACAAGUUGGACACACAGGAACAGAGGGGUUGAGGGCCCUGCUCAAUGAGCUUACAUGCUAGAGGGAGUGGGGUAAAAUGACACAAAAAGGUAAGGACCGUUGCAGAAGAGGAAUCAGUCAGGAGCUAUUAACAGUUUAAUUGAUACACUUUUAUGAAGAACUGGGUUUUUAACGAUUUUUUGAAGGAGUGGAGACUGGGUGAGCCUCUAACGGAGGAGGGAAGGUGCAGCCCUCGAGAAAUCUUGAAGGCAAGCAUUAGAGGUGGGAGUACGGACAGAAGAUAGAUGUAAGUCUUCAGCAGAUCGUAAGGGUCUAGACGGGAUAUACUUGUGUAUAAGGGAGGAUAGAUAGGUGGGAGCAGCAUUAUACAGAGAUUUGAAAGCAAGAACCAGAAUUUUAAAUUGAGCUCUAUAUUUUAUAGGAAGUCAAUGUAGGGACUGAAAGAAGGGUGAGGCAUCGGAGGUGCGGGCGGACAAGAAGAUGAGCCUCGCCGCCGCAUUCAUUAUGGUACAAGUUGGGAGCACGUAAGACCACUGAGAAGCGGAUUAAAGUAGUCACGGCGAGAAAGGACAGUGGAAUGAACCGACACCUUAGUCGCAUCUGGGGUUAAGUAGGGGCGGAUGCGCGCAAUGUUUUUGAGAUGGAAAUGACAGGAUUUGGCGAUAGAUUGAACAUGAGGCUUGAAGGAGAGGUCGGAGUGAAAGAGAACACCUAGGCAGCGAGCCUGCGUGGUGGAGCUGAUGGUAGCACCGUUGACUUGGAGGGAGACUGUCAUGGAGUAACACUUCCGGGUUCGGCACUCAGCUGUGAGGAGCCGGACGCCCCCCUCUGACACAGCUCUGACGAUAUUUAGGGAGACUGGGCCAGAGAGAGGGUGCUUGGUGAUUGUGUGUGAGCUAAUGUGUGGGCUGCCUCCGCGGGCUCCACAGGCUCAGCUACUGGGAGCUACUUCCACCAGACUUACCUCUCCACAAGCUCAGACAAGCCAUUCCAGCCUUUGAGCCAAUGCAAGGAUUGCUGCAUGCCAUAAAGAAUUAUUGGAGAACGGAUAAUUUGCUACUUUACAAGUGGACCAUAUCUCUGAACUAUUGGAGGACUACACAUAUUAACCUUAAGUAUAUCUUUCAGCUAUUUGUCUACAUUAUCAUGUAUUAAUGACCUAAUGCUUGCUUACUCAAAUCUUCAUUGCUACAAACUACUAAUUAUAUGGAAGACAACUCCCAUCAUGUUUAUUCACUAUGAACUGUUUCUUGCUUUGCAAAGACACUCAUUGCUUCAAGCUACUAAUUAUAUGGAGGACAACUCCCAUCAUGCUUAUUCACUAUGAACUGUUCCUGCUUUAUAAUAUAUAUCAAAUAGGGACAAAUAUGAGGCAGGUAUAGAUAAAUUAAGUAUAACACAGUAUAACACCGCAAAUCUGGCCAAGAAUUAAAAGCAGUGAAAAUACUAACAUGUAUAUACAAUAUAAGGAUACUGCCAACAAGAAAAAGUCCCAAUAAAAGUCCAAUAGCUAUUCCAAGAAUACAGCACUGAGGAAGGCUCCAUUGAGGGCUGAAACGCAUUUGCUCUAUUGGACUUUUAUUGGGACUUUUAUUGGGACUUUUGCCUCAUAUUUGUCCCUAUUUGAUAUAUAUUUUUAAUAGUAAAUUACUUACAUUUUUAUAUUUCUUCAUGGAAUUCAAGUUCUUCACAGGAGAGCCUGGAUAGGCACCCAAGGGCGAUAUACAUAGAGCCUAUUAGGCUCCAGCCUUGUGAGUUUAUUCCUCAUAUAUUUUGCACAUUACGUAUUUGUUUACAUGGAAAACACUAUGUGUAUUUUAUUUGUUUUACAGGUGUAACUACUAUACCCAUAUUUGUAAUAGGUGGUAUAUUUACAUACUGUAUCUUUUAGUGUGUGUGAAUCCUUUUAUUCUUUUACAUUGGAUACUUUGGUCAGUGCCGUUUCCACAGAGUGUUUGGCGUGGAAACCAGACUGAAGCGGGUCUAGCAGAGAGUUGGACUCGAGGAAGUCUGUCAAUCUGGCAUACACAAUUAUUUCAAGGAUCUUGGAUGCAAAAGGCAGUAGCAAGAUAGGACGAUAGUUGGAUGGGGAGUUAGGGUCAAGAUUGGGCUUCUUUAGAAUUGGGGUUACAGUUGCAUGUUUGAAGGGCAAUGGAAAUAUACCAGAGGAGAGAGAGAGAUUUAGAAUUUUAGUGAGAGGUGGAAAAAGAGAAGAAGGCAGAGUACGGAUGAGAUGCAAGGGAAUUGGAUCUAGGGAGCAGGUGAUGGGGCGGCAGGACUGGAGCAGAGCAGAAACCUCUUCUACUGUAGCGGGUGCAAAUUAACAUAGAACAGCAGGGGGAGUGAAGUUAGGGGAAGUAUUGUAAGGGGAAGAAGAAAGAUGAGAGAUCUCUUCUCUGAUUGUAGAGAUCUUGUCAGUGAAGUGAGUUGCAAAGUCUGAGGCAGUCAAGUUAGUAAGUGGAGGAGGAACAGUAGGGCGAAGAAGAGAGUUAAAUGUGUGAAAUAGUCGUUUGGGUUCGCGGUAGAGUUUGGUUAUGAGGAUAUUGAAGUAAUUAACUUUUGCAGAGGAAAGAGCAAAGCUGUAUGAGCUCAGCAUAAAUUUAUAGUGGAGAAAGUCAGUUGCACAGUGAGACUUUCUCCAACAGCGUUCAGCAGUUCUGGAGCAUUUUUGGAGGUAUCGAGUCAGCUUGGUGUGCCUGGCUUGUUGUUGGGUGGGCCUGCGGCGUUUAAAUGUACAAGGUGCCAUGAUGUUUAGUUGAGAGGAGAGGGUGGAAUUGUAGAAGGAGGUUGCAGAACUAGGACAGGUGAGGUUUGAGAUAGGUAAAAGGAGAGUUUGGAGAUUAGUGGAGAAAUGCUCUAGGUCAAGAUAUUGGAGGUUUCUGUGAGAGUGAUGUUCAGACAGUGGUGUCAAUUGGGUCUUAGGUAUGCCAAUGUCAAAAGUCAGAAGAUGGGGGUCAGAUAGAGGAAAAGGAAUAUUGGAGAGAUUAGAGGCAGUACAGAGGUUGGUGAAGGCAAGAUCAAGAGUGUUUCCUGCUGUAUGGGACCAUUGCGUAAGGCCAAAGGAGGAGGUUACAGAGAGCAGACGAGAGGCAUCAGUGCAAUUGGGGUUAUUGAUUGGGAUAUUAAAAUCCCCAAGUAUAAGGGAAGGCGUGCUAGAUGAGAGGAAGUGGGGAAGCCAGGAAAAAAAGUGCUCAAUGAAUAGUCCAAAUAUAUAAUCCAAAUACCUCAUAAAGCUACUAGUCUAAUACUAUCCUUACCUUUUGUGUCAUUUUACCCAACUCCCUCUAGCAUGUAAGCUCAUUGAGC